rnacentral:tRNA from 1 species
GGCCCCUUGGUCAAGCGGUUAAGGUUAAGACACCGCCCUUUCACGGCGGUAACACGGGUUCGAAUCCCGUAGGGGUCACCA